rnacentral:rRNA from 1 species
UACGAAGGGGGCGAGCGUUGUUCGGAUUUACUGGGCGUAAAGCGCACGUAGGCGGACUCUUAAGUCGGUGGUGAAAUCCUGGAGCUCAACUCCAGAACUGCCUUCGAUACUGAGAGUCUCGAGUCCGGGAGAGGUGAGUGGAACUGCGAGUGUAGAGGUGAAAUUCGUAGAUAUUCGCAAGAACACCAGUGGCGAAGGCGGCUCACUGGCCCGGUACUGACGCUGAGGUGCGAAAGCGUGGGGAGCAAACAGG